AUUUUUACAUGAAAAUAUGGCGAAAAGAUUCUUAGAAGCUAAAGUGAGUAUUAAAAUAUUUAACAGUUAUUUAUUGGCAACGUAUAAAACAUGUACAGGCAGCCGGCCACCACCAGGAGUCUUUCGUAAUUCUCAUGCAUCAUGAGACAUGAGCAAAUAGCCUUUCAUGUUGAUAAAUUGUUUGCCUGCAGUGCAGUCAGACAAACAUUCAACCAAUAAGAGACUAGAAUGAGGGAGGCAGUGCACAGGGGAUCUAACCCUAUAACCAGUCUUGGUUCCGAAACACGGACACUGUUUUUUAUUUUGGUUUUCAUUUUAGUGUGUGCACAUAUGUUUGCAUACAGUAUCAAGAAAGGUUGGUUCUAUAUUGAGUUUUCUAUUCCCUAAUUAAUGCAAUGCAGCCUAUUCAGACUUGUAGCAUGUUGCAUGUCAAAGCCAAUCAGAAAAGGGUGUAAAUAUAUAGAGAGGGAAACCGGGCAGCCCGGAGGAAAACCCUCUCUCAUGCAAUCAAGGACCACAGACACAGCUGACGACUUUUAUUUUAAAUAAAAAUAUUUACAAGUUUUUACAAAAAAAUUAUUUUUUCAUCUAUUUUUAAUAUAUAGUGAGAACACAGAGACAGAGAUUUUUA